rnacentral:rRNA from 1 species
AUGACGUCAAGUCAUCAUGGCCCUUACGGCCUGGGCCACACACGUGCUACAAUGGUCGGUACAGAGGGUUGCCAAGCCGCGAGGUGGAGCUAAUCCCAUAAAACCGAUCGUAGUCCGGAUCGCAGUCUGCAACUCGACUGCGUGAAGUCGGAAUCGCUAGUAAUCGCGAAUCAGAAUGUCGCGGUGAAUACGUUCCCGGGCCUU